AUGAUGGCAGACCAGCCUCAAGAGGUCACAGAGGAGGCUGUGGAGGAGGCCGAGGAGGUGGCCGAUGAUGUAGAGAGUGCAGUGGCAGAAGAAGCUGUUGAGGAGGCUGCUCUUGCAGAAGAAGCUGUUGAAGAGCCUGCUGAAGAGGAGGCAGCACCUUCAGAAGCAGCUGUCGAGGAUGUAGCGGAAGAGGAGGUAGCUGAAGAAGAGGCAGCUCCUGCUGAGGAGCCUGCUGCAGAGGAGGCAUCUCCAGCAGAGGAAGCUGUUGAGGAUGCAGUAGCAGAAGCGGAGCCAGCACCUUCAGAAGAAGCUGAGGAGGAGGAGGCAGCAGUACCUUCAGACGAGCCAGCUGAUGAAGAGGAGGAUGCUCCUUUAGAAGAGGCUGCUGAGGAGCCCGCUGAAGAGGAGGCAGCUCCCUCAGAAGAGGCAGAGGAGGAGGAGGAGGCAGCAGCAGACACAGAGGCAACUCCAGAAGAAGUAGAGGAGCAGCAAACAGUACCAGUCACAGAGACAGAAGAAGAAGUAGCAGCAUACGAGGCAGAGGAGGCAGCAGAAGAAGAAGCAGAGUUUGCCGAGAUAGAGGAACAGAUUCAGGAUGAGCCCACAGAAACGUAGAGGCUGCCGUGGUCGUCGCUGUGACGGAGCAGGGACCCACUGAUGUUGCAUCAGCACCAUCUGAGUGCGCUCAGAGCGAUGAUGCACCUCUCCACCUCCAGAGAAAGUCGCUAUGACAACACUCGCCUCCCCCCCCUCCCCAUCUGUCUCUCCCUCCUUUGAGUUUCCCUUCUGGUAUAAAUGUGUGAGAUGAUGGAUGAAUUGUUUACUAAUACGGUACUCCUGUUUUUACCCCUCAUGUCUUCACCUUUCUUUUUUCUUUAAAAUAGAGCAUCCGUUUUCAUGUUUGUUCAGGGCGGUUUUGUGUGACUGGCCUGAUGCUCAGGUCAUGUGAAGUCUAUGUGCUCUACUAGCCGCCAGUCUGUAUCUGCAAGAGCUGUAACAAUAAACCAGACUAGAACUUUAUUUUGAAGUGUCUUAGUUUGGCUUCCUGGAACUAAAUUCUGUUGCCAAGUAAACUGAAGCCAUAACUGAGCCCUUAUUUGGCAGUUUCAGAUCAGUCUCACAGUUAAGACUCUGGUCUAGACAGUGAGCUCUUUUUGACUUUGUCGGUUCAGGAGCUUCAGAUUCUAACGAAAGUCUUUCUCUGAACACUGCAGAGAGUCUCCAGUCUGAGCUGGAGUUUCCCCCAUUCCUCCUGCUGAGAGAAAUCAGCUCGAUGGAGGUAACAAAUGUAUCUUUGAAAUGUAGUAAUCAAACUAAAAGUGUCAUGUUCCGUUUUCAGUUCUGGUCAGUGUUGUAGACUCUAUGCAAAGCUGUCGGGAUGUCCGUCACCCACCUCCCUCCACCCUCCCUCACCCCCCCUCCUCACCUAGCCAUUUUAUUUACCACUCAGUAUGUGUUGACUCCAGGAUGAGCCAUAUGCUAGCAUGUGAAUUCAGAGACAGAGUGCGUGUGCGUGCGUGUGCGUGCGUGCGUGUGCGUGUGUGUGCGUGUGCGUGCGUGUGUGUGUGUGUCCCCCAUGUCCCCCAUGAUGAGCGUGUUUUUUGUGUGUUGACAGAUCUUAAUCUCUAAUCCUUUCUGUGAGCCGUAGCUAUCAGGAUAUAGUAUGUGAGACGUUGGUUUCCUUCUGAUUUGUUCUCUAACUACCUUUACCUCCGUGUGUUUGUGUUCUGUAGAUGCCUAGCUGUUCUUUUCCAUAUUUUCAGAUUACCAAGACCAUCUUAACUAGACUAUCAGAUACUUUUGAACUGAAGUUGUGACUUCACUUCAGCUCCGUAAAUUUAAACUGUGAUGUAAAUCAGGACACCAUGGACAGUGCAAAGUUGUCCCGCUGUGGUGUAAAGAUUGUUUUUGUUUUUUUCCCCCGAACAUACCAGCUAUACAUGGAUCCAGCCUAGUGGGCUGAUUCAGGCAGGACAGUUCGCGCUGAAGCCUUUUAACCCUGUGUAAUCCAGAUUCUGCCCUCUCUGGCUCACAGAGGGUUAAAUAGAUCAGGCAUCAUACUCCUGUGGAGGUCAGCCAUGACUCACUGACCGACACCCGUUAAAGUGGCGAAACUUUGCUGUGUGUUUAAUUUACUUUAAAGGGAAAUUCUGUGAUAUUUCUUUAGUCACUGUUCCCUUUUCCUUUUGACACUAGGUGUUUUUUAAUUGAUCGGUGGUAGGAGGGCUCCUGCAGGCCCAAAAGAUCGAACAUCUUACACAUCAUUCCAUUCCAGGCUCAAAUUGUGGAAUAAAGAACGCCAAAUGAGAGCGUUUUGUAUCUUAUUUUGAAGGUGAUGGCCAGGUCUGUGUCCCUGUUGUAUUAUGAGAUAUAACUGUGACACUAAGAUAGCUUCGGGUGCAGCACUGUGGAUAACACAUUUCUGUUGUGAUACUGACAAUAAACAAUAAGUAGAUCUGAUGUCGUAGGAUUAAUUACACUACUAUAAGUCAAAGAAGUAAAACAUUCCUGUUUUUUUAAUAUCCUUUGGUGUCACAGUCCCACUGUGUGUCCUCACAUACUGUAACUACCAGAUUGUCUUUAGGGAUGCAACACAUUCCAGUGGUGUGCA
rnacentral:lncRNA from 15 species